GCGACGGUGACUCCCGGAGUUAACGAUAUUGCAGCAGCCGCUGUUGCUGCUGUUGUUAACGAUAUUCCUGUUGCUGCUGCCAUUGCUGCUGUUGUUAACGAUAUUCCUGGUACUGUUGCUGAUAGUAUUACUGCUGCUGUUGACAGUAUUGCUGCUACUGCUGCUGCUGCUAUUAUUGCUGCUGCCGCUGCUACUGCUGUUUACGAUAUUGCUGCUGCUGCUGUUGUUGCUGCUGUUUCUCUGUGCAGUACCAGAGUUAAAGCAGCUUCUUCAUCUUCACUGCUGUCCACCAGGAAGUAGGUGUCAUCCGUACGGAGAUUCACCGAACCAGGCGCUGCUGCUACCUGUCAAAGAAAAAAAGAAAGAAAGAAAAAGAAAGCAUGUUGAAAGGAAACUACUUCUCAGCGAAACCUCCCAGCUUAUCUCUGCUUUCUUAUCUUUGAGAAACAAACAAAACCACACGGAAAUAACAAUCGUCAUUAUUGCUGCUGUUACCUAGUUCCCACCUUCCAAACCUUGGUUAAUUAAUUUUCUUUAAUUAGGCGCCUUGCUAUUAUCCUAAACAUGAUAGGGUUACAGAACGACACAACCCUGUCGCGAUCUGGCCUUUUACAAGUUUAGGGUGUUUAAAUUGGAAAUGACGGAUAUUAUUAUAUUGUCGGAUGUUGUACAAUAUUUUCCGGAGACCUUCACAACUGAGCGGAAUCUUAUAACUUCACAUUUCUAUUGCACUCGAAGAUAAAUAUUUCCAGUUAUGGGACUAUGGCCCGGGAUAGAUGGGUCAAACGUCUGCAACACGCGAAUGUACCGGCCUAAACAGAAAAGAUUGUUGUUUUGAUCUUGUUUUAAGAGGAGAAAAUUACAAAAUAUACAAAAAAACCUCAACAUAUUUUGGUUAAUUCCUAACAAUGUGAGGAUUUCGGGAUAAAUAAAUAUAAAGGGAGAGAAAGAGAGAGAAAGGGCCAAAGUGGGAUGAGGAAGAGAUGAAUUAAGAAUAGGUUCAACGGAAGGAAACAGUCAAAGAAAGGUUGGAACAAUGACAUUGGUAAACUCUUAAAAUGGCACUACUACACCAUCAUCUCCCUCAAAGAUUUCACAACUUCAGGACAGGUUCCACGACAAUCUCAUUCUUCCGCAAUUUCGUCGAUCUCUUUCAUUUAUUCAUUUACGAUUAAAUUCUUCAUUUUUUUUUAUAAUGGAAUGAUGAAUGACAAUUCAUUCAUGCAAUUAAAACUCCAGACACCGUUGUAACUUUAUAUAUAUAUAUAUAUAUGAUAUAAUAUAAUAUAAUAUCCCCUUAUAUAUUAGCUGAUAUUUCAUUCUGAUAUUACUCAGAGUAUCAGGCUUGGCAAAAUAGCAGAUUGAAGUAACUAAAUAAAUAAACCACAUGUAUUGAAUACAUUCUUCUCUUUCGUGUAUACACUCCAACAUAAUUAUAUAUAUUAUAUAUUGACUGUGUAUAUGUUUAUGUAUAUAUAUAUAUUUAUCAUGUAAUAUAGGUGAAUAUGUUACGUACAUGAUAUUCAAAGAGUCUUUAUUCAAUAAAACAUGACACAGGGCCUGCCAUAAUAUAUUCCAGUCGUCGCAUUCUUGUUGACAAACUGGGAAUUAUGUAUGUUUUGUUGUUUCCCGAUCUGUUUAAUUUCGGGCACUUCUUAACCUCUCUGAUCGAUAACUACACAAGUGAUAUAUUUAAGGGAUCGAUAAAUUAGAUAAUCUAUACAGAGUUUACGAAAACCGAACCUUUCGUAAGAAUUAAUUCAAAGGUUUCAGGCGGAAAGGAAUUUAAUUAGAACUGGGAUCUUACCGUUUCUGUCCCUUUUCCACAGCCACUCAUUUUAUUUAUUUAUCUAACCCCAAAAGACAAAUUCAAGCUUUGGAAUAACAAAUAAUUUGCCAUCAUGACGGAGUGCUUGGCUUAUAACCCGCAAAAUAACUUUGCGUCAGUUAUUGAAAAUAUCAACAGAGAACUUAGAGAAAAAGGUAAGUUC
rnacentral:lncRNA from 1 species